rnacentral:rRNA from 1 species
UUUCGCAAUGCCCGAAAGGGUGACGAAGCGACGCCGCGUGGGUGAGGAAGGCCUUCGGGUUGUAAAGCCCUGUCAGGAGUUAUGAAAUGUAAGUGCGCUAAUAUCGUGCUUAUUUGACAAAGGCUCCAAAGGAAGCCACGGCUAACUCUGUGCCAGCAGCCGCGGUAAUACAGAGGUGGCGAGCGUUGUUCGGAAUUAUUGGGCGUAAAAAGCACGUAGGUGGGUUUGCAGGUCAGAUGUGAAAGCCUUCUGUUCAACGGAAGAAUUGCAUCUGAAACUGCUAAUCUUGAGUAUAGGAGGGGAGAAUGGAACUUCUGGUGGAGCGGUGAAAUGCGUAGAUAUCAGAAGGAACGCCGGCGGCGAAAGCGAUUCUCUGGCCUAUUACUGACACUCAGUGUGCGAAAGCUAGGGGAGCAAACGGGAUUAGAUACCCCGGUAGUCCUAGCCGUAAACGAUGGGCACUAAGUAGAGGGGUUUUA